rnacentral:rRNA from 1 species
AUUGAACGCUGGCGGCAUGCCUUACACAUGCAAGUCGAACGGCAGCGGACCUUCGGGUGCCGGCGAGUGGCGAACGGGUGAGUAAUAUAUCGGAACGUACCUUUCAGUGGGGGAUAACGUAGCGAAAGUUACGCUAAUACCGCAUAUUCUGUGAGCAGGAAAGCAGGGGAUCGCAAGACCUUGCGCUGAUUGAGCGGCCGAUAUCAGAUUAGCUAGUUGGUGAGGUAAAGGCUCACCAAGGCGACGAUCUGUAGCGGGUCUGAGAGGAUGAUCCGCCACACUGGAACUGAGACACGGUCCAGACUCCUACGGGAGGCAGCAGUGGGGAAUUUUGGACAAUGGGCGCAAGCCUGAUCCAGCCAUGCCGCGUGAGUGAAGAAGGCCUCGGUUGUAAGUACUACUUCGUCGGACGGAGAGUCGC